rnacentral:lncRNA from 1 species
CGACUGGAGAAAGCGGACCAGACAAAAUCUGAGGUGGUCAACCGUGCAACUGCGGAAGCUCAACGCGCAACUGAGGAAGCUCGACUUGCAACUGAAGAGCUUCAACGUGUGGUCACCCAUCUGGAGACACUCCAAGCCGAUUUUCUCGUCAACGUGCGAGAUUAUAAUGACUUGGUUGAUCUGGGUCCUCAUGUUUUCCCGGGCUUUGAAGCCGCAGAUGUUCAUGACUGGGUCCGUAAGAAUCCCAAAGAAGCCACCGAAAUUCGUGAUCGGGCGCUUGCAGAGGAAAGGGAUGAGGAGGAGAGAGAGAAUGAAGAGGAAGGGAUUCUACAGGCGCUGGCUGACAUUGAUACAGACUUUUCUAUAGAAGAUCAAGAUAACAAUGAUGCAGCGGGUUCUGAAGACAUUCCCCCCCUUCCUAAAAUAGAUUAGAUUAAGUUCUCUACUUUUGCUGUAACUCACAUUCCUCUGUAAUUCUUCUUUGUUAAAUCAAUAUAUGGGAUGUUUUUCGAGUGUUCUGAUUACUAAUAGUAGUUAAUUUACUAAACAGCAUAUUAGUUAAAUAGUUCGUACUAUUACAAGAGUAGUAACCUUACUUAAUUGUUUUAAAAGUACAACUGCAGAUUAUCUGCGUGCCACGUAUUGGGGAUGCCUGUUCCAUCUUCCCGCUUUAACCUGUAC